GAGGCAGCCAAUUACUCAGCUUAUCUGACUGCGUUCUGCAGAAGGGUACAGAAAGCUGGCAAUAUUGGUGACAUAUUACGAGCCUUAAGGACAGGACAACUGAGGUCGUUAAGGUCCCUGAAAAUGGCUACAUUA